rfam:Penicillium brasilianum genome assembly, contig: SCAF60
GGCAAGUAUAAAAAGAAACUAUUAUGGAUGGUUCGCUAUAUAUUUCAAGAUUUAUCUAGCAAGUAGCUAUAGAAAUCAAAGAGAAAUCUUAUAAUUAGACAAAGUGAAUUGAAAUAUCUUAGUAACUUUAGGAAAAGAAAUCAAACGAGAUUGUUAUUUGGUGUCUUCUAAAUAACAAAAGCCUAUAUAAAAAAUUAAAAUGGAAAAAAUCUGUUUGAAUAUAGGGGAACCUUCCUCUAAGGCUAAAUAAAAUAUAUAAGCGAUAGCGUAGAAGUACCGUGAGGGAAAAGGCUGAAAUAGUAGUUUUAUAAGCAGCUCGAGUGAAAUUUUAAAUAAAUAAUAAGAGCGUACCUUUUGCAUAAUGGGUCAGCAAGUUAAUUUUAGAUGCAAGCAUAUAAUAAUAAAAUAUUAUUGUUUGCUUAGAUAAACCAAUUAUGAAAAAAUGAAUAAGUAUCUAGGAUUAGACCCGAAGGCUAGUGAUCUUACCAUGAUCAGGGUUAUAAAAGCCCGAACGGGUUAUCGUUGUAAAGAUAUCCGAUGAAUUGUGGUAAGUUAGUGAAAGACAAAACUGACUAGUAUAGCUGGUUUUCCGCGAAACCUAUGUAAGUAGGUAAUUUAAUUAACAUCUUAGCAGGUACAGAACUGUGAUCUCGGACAAUACCAUAGGUAUUUGUCAACAUCGGGGGGCUGUAGUGGCUUUACCGGAGAGUAUUUGCACUCGGAAGGGCAAAGAUGAAUGUUAAAUAAUCGGACAUAGUGCGAUAAGGUUGUAUGUCUAAAGGGAAACAGCCCAGAACAAGAGUUAAGGUUCCAAAAUUAUUGUUAAGUGAAAUAAAGGAUGUUUUCUUUUAAAACAAUCAGGAAAUAGGCUUAGAAGCUGCCAUUUUUUGAAGACCUCGUAACAGAGCACUGAUUAAAUUUUUAGGAGAAAACGCCGAAAAUUUAACGGAUCUAAAAUAAUAUACCGAAACCUUGUACACAUAAUAUGUGGGGUAGCGGAACAUUGGAUAAAAAAGUUUAUAUUUAUAUUUCUUAGAGAUAUAAAUUAGGGGAUAAAGGUAUAAUAUAUAAAUAUUAAUAUUUAUAUUAGUAUUUGUAUAUUAUAAAGAGAAUUAGUAAGGGUACCUAAAUAAGGGUAUUGCUAGAAAAGUCUUUUGUAAUUUUCUUAGGUUAAUUAAAUAGUUCCUUUAUCUUUAGUUUUAGUAUUACGUAACCUAUACCAAAGUGACUAAAACUAUCUAAAUAAUUUCCAAGAGACAAUGCUGACAUGAGUAACGAAAAAGGCUUUUAGCCUCGCCUUAAGCUUAUGGCUUCUAUAUCAAACCGGUGUCUAAGAAUAUUAAUCAAAGGAUAAUUUUGAUGAUAUAUAAUAUACUCUUGUAAAUAGAGUAAAAAGUAAAACCUUUAUUAAGUAAUAAAGGUUCUGGAAAACUUUUUACAAAGUUUAUAUAUUUUUAAUAUAUAAUCAGAAACAUAUUACACCGUACCUAGAAUCUAACCCAAGUAAGCAAGUAGAGUAUACAAAGGCGUUUGAGUGAACAAUCAUUAAGGAACUCGGCAAAUUGACUCUGUACCUUCGGAAUAAGGAGGGCCAUUAUUAUUAUGUAUGAUAAUAUAUCAUAUUAAUAAUAAGAGGAAUCAUAAAAUAAUGUUGUACGACUGUUUAAUAAAAACACAGCACUCUGCAAAGAUUAAAAAUCAAAGUAUUGAGUGUGAUGUCUGCCCAAUGUCGGCUGGGUAACGGAUUUACCUUGGUUAUUAACUGAGGUUUUGAAGGACACCCCGAUUAAUGGCGGCCUUACCUAUGAGGGUCCUAAGGUAGCGAAAUACCUUGGCCGUUAAAUGCGGUCCUGCAUGAAUGACCUAACGAUACAACAGCUGUCUCGAUGAUUGUCUCAGUGAAAUUGGAAUAGCAGUGCAGAUACUGUUUACCUCUAGAUAGACGAGAAGACCCUAUGCAGCUUUACUGUUACUAAUUACAAGAGUACAAAUUUAGGAUGAUUUAUAGUGUAUAAGGUAGUUGUAAGAUAACAAUGAAACACCUUUAUUCGUAUCCUAUUAUAUCUCUUGAUGAUUGGGAGGCAGUUUAUGCGGGGCACAGAUCC